UCACUAGCUGAUAUGUGGUUACCUUUAGUGCACUGUAGUUGCUAAAUACUCUGUAAUCCUCUUUCCCUCGGGGUCAAUUCCUUAAUUGUCUUUCUGCAGCUGUUGGAGGAGGUGGGUCGUGUACACUCCACAGCGAGCAUUGGUGUCACUGAUGGCUUUAACCAGAUAGUUCCCAGUGUUUGCCCUGGCUCAAGGAAAAUCUCCACUAGCUAAACAGUACUUGGAGGCCAGAGAAGAAGCGCUCACCGAGGAUCUACCAGGAAUGGACUUCAGAGCAGUGUUCAUCCUCCGUUCAAUCAUUUUUAAAAUGUGUGGAUCAUCACAUCAUGAUGGGAGAGGGUGAACCCAACACACCAUACCCAAUUGUCCAGGUGACCCAAGAAGACUGGAAGUCCAUAUUUGGGGGACGUAGCUCUUGUUCCCUGAAGGUAGACGGGGUCGAGGUGUGUGAAGGUAGAGGAAGCAACGAUCUCAUCGUUUUAUUCAUAUUUUGUUUUCGAUCUUGAAUACCAACCCAAAAACAAGAACACUCUGACCUUCCUUCAGCGAUGUAUUGCGGGAGUGUAUUUCACUUUGAAAAACAAGGAAUUCUCACCAUGCAACACAUCCACAACAAAAACAUCUUGUGUGGCAUACUUGACAUUGUUAACGGUUACUUCUGAAACACGUAUAACUUUAUCUUCACUUAAAGAAACAUCAGUGAAAUAUUGAGGAAGCACAUUAAAUGGACAACUACACUGUACCCCAUAGGUUGCUCUACUGUCAGGAUUUUGCCAGAUACAUUCCAGGUGAUACUGGUGAACGUCAGAUGUUCUUAAAACAUAACUAUCUUCCUGAAAUGUGUCUUUAAUAUCUGUAUAUGUUCCCAUACAAUGUCUACAAACUCUUCCUGAGUUAAAUGACAUACUGAAUCCACCAAUCAUGUGAGCUGAAAGGUUAUCCCCUGAAAUGGUAGCUAGGGCUGCAUGGACAUUCUGAUCAACCCCACCAACAGUGAGAGCACUUUAAGAUCAUCUAGCAGUGGCUUUAGGAUAACUUCUAAGCCACACUCCUUUAAAUAGGAAUAGCGCACCAGUAACGCUAAAUAAAUAUGCUUCACUUGAGACCUGUACUUUCCAUGUACAUUACCUACAGUUUAGUAGAAGGCGCACAGUUUGUUUUGUUUGAACCCAAAGGACUUACUACCUCAAAUUCAUCCUCAUAAAAAUGCAGUCAUAAUGCAUUUGGAUAUUCUCUGAAGAAAGGAUGCUCUUUAUAGUACAAUCCAUCACAAAAGUCAGUUAAGACCUGUUCAUCUUCAAUAUUUACAGAGACUGUCAUCCCAUACAUCCUCAUGGGAACAGUAUAUUUUUUUUAAACCUCAGAAAUGGGAACAUAGGAGAAGCUACCUAUUUUAUGUCCUGUAGACCCUCUUAAAGUGUAUUGAACUGGUUCAGUCAAGUCUAACCUCGACUUACAGUAUUCUUUCAAUUUGAACUGAGAAGAGAACUCUUUUGAUGCUUCCUCAAAAAAAUCAUUGGACUGUAAA